rnacentral:rRNA from 1 species
GACGAACGCUGGCGGCGUGCUUAACACAUGCAAGUCGAACGGAAAGGCCUCUUUCGGGGGGUACUCGAGUGGCGAACGGGUGAGUAACACGUGAGUAACCUGCCCUUGACUUUGGGAUAACUUCAGGAAACUGGGGCUAAUACCGGAUAGGAGCUCCUGCUGCAUGGUGGGGGUUGGAAAGUUUCGGCGGUUGGGGAUGGACUCGCGGCUUAUCAGCUUGUUGGUGGGGUAGUGGCUUACCAAGGCUUUGACGGGUAGCCGGCCUGAGAGGGUGACCGGCCACAUUGAGACUGAGAUACGGCCCAGACUCCUACGGGGGGCAGAAGUGGGGAAGAUUGCACAAGGGGUGGAGGCCUGAUGCAGCAACGCCGUGUGCGGGAUGACGGCCUUCGGGUUGGAAACCGCUUUCGCUCAUGACGAAGCUUUGUGUGACGGUAGUGGGUAAAGAAGCACCGGCUAACUACGUG